rnacentral:rRNA from 1 species
ACAAUGCGGGAAACCGUGAUGAGGGGACACCGAGUGCCAGCAUCAUAUGCUGGCUGUCCAGGUGUGUAAACUACACCUGUUAGCAAGGGCCGGGCAAGACCGGUGCCAGCCGCCGCGGUAACACCGGCGGCCCGAGUGGUGAUCGUGAUUAUUGGGUCUAAAGGGUCCGUAGCCGGUUUGGUCAGUCCUCCGGGAAAUCUGACGGCUCAACCGUUAGGCUUUCGGGGGAUACUGCCAGGCUUGGAACCGGGAGAGGUAAGAGGUACUACAGGGGUAGGAGUGAAAUCUUGUAAUCCCUGUGGGACCACCUGUGGCGAAGGCGUCUUACCAGAACGGGUUCGACGGUGAGGGACGAAAGCUGGGGGCACGAACCGGAUUAGAUACCCGGGUAGUCCCAGCCGUAAACGAUGCUCGCUAGGUGUCAGGCAUGGCGCGACCGUGUCUGGUGCCGCAGGGAAGCCGUGAAGCGAGCCACCUGGGAAGUACGGCCGCAAGGCUGAAACUUAA